CUGUAGCCACGGUAAUACAGAGGGUGCAAGCGUUAAUCGGAUUUACUGGGCGUAAAGGGCGCGUAGGUGGUUAUGUAAGUGAGAUGUGAAAUCCCCGGGCUCAACCUGGGAACUGCAUCUUAUACUGCGUAGCUGGAAUGCAGUAGAGGGUAGUGGAAUUUCCGGUGUAGCAGUGAAAUGCGUAGAUAUCGGAAGGAACACCAGUGGCGAAGGCGGCUACCUGGACUGACACUGACACUGAGGCGCGAAAGCGUGGGGAGCAGACAGGAUUAGAUACCCCCGUAGUCCCUGUCUCUUAUAA
rnacentral:rRNA from 1 species